CUUGCGGUCAGGGGUGGUCACGUGACAAAUUUGGACCAGUAAGAGUGGACUCGGAGUCUCUGUCGGAGAAGAAAAGCUCUAACUUUAACCUGGCUGGACGGUAACCGGUGAGGAUGCGGGUCUGGAACUGUGGGCGACCACAGGGAACCUGAAAAGAAAGCACACAAGGAAGAAGCCAGACUGGAGAAACGGAAAGACCAUGCGCUGAUGACACAGUUGAGCCCUUGAAUCCAGCUGGGAGCCAGACCUGGCAUUUUUGAAUAGGUUUUUUUUUUUUUUUCCUGUUACUUUUAAAUAAAACGGAUGCAGACGUUAGUUCCGGGAGUGGGGGUGCGCAAGUGGGAGAUCACACCCGUGUGACGGCUGAGUGGGCGUGCCGGGCUGUGGGGACGCAGGCACCAUGGCUGAGAAGUUGGAGUCCUUGUUAAACAGAAGUGACUUUCAGUAAGGCGCUAUUAGAAAGUGACAAGCUCAGGGUGAAACUGGCUUGCUUGAAAGCGGAUGGCAUUUACAGUAGGCUUUACCGAGAGAGCCACUUCCUGCCUAUGACUGAAAGCAGCAGCAGCCAGAAAUGUGCAGGAAUGCAGGGUCGGAAAGCUAAAUGGUGUUUUCCAACCCCAAAUUAGUGUGAGUUAAGACAGGAGAGUGGGCACCUUGGGAACAUGCAGGUUCCCACUGCCCUUCCCAGGCACCUUCUAUGAUGAGCCCCCAGCUCAAUGCAGGGGACGCAACUGGAGUCGAGGGGCCAAAUAAUCCCCUCCCCUCCCCCAGGGAAGGUGGAGCUGGGAGGCAAGGCUGCUGGCUGGGGGCGGCGCAGAGUGCUGCCCAGCUGGGGCUUCAUGUACUAACCCACAGGGCAGCCAACUGAAGAUCCGAGAGAAUUAUUCUACAAGAGAAACACCAAAUCUGUCAAAUAACAUAUCUAAGAUGCCCAUCAUUUACUAAAGAUCUGAGCAAAUUAUUCUACAAGAGAAACACCAAAGCUGUCAAAUAAUCUAUCUAAGAUGCCCAUCAUUUAAGGCAAUCAAUCCACAAGUCCCCACUAGCCCUUCAAGUAGAGAGCUUCUUUCCAGAAGUUUCAUCUUCCCCGUUGUAUAUCCCAGGCGUGGCCUUGGAAGACAACGAACAAGGGACAUCUCCCAGAAAUCACGCUGGAGGACAAAGAACCUCACUUCCUGCCAGGAUAUGCAGUGACGACUAUCUGACUGCACCUAAUGAAAAUGAAAUUUGGCUUCGGGAACACUCAGCUUGAGUAUGGAACGUCUUGUUCUCUUUGUCAGUCUGGCUUAUCUCCUCUUCGAAGAGCUCACUGAUUUGUCAUACGCGUCAAAGUGCUGGAGUCUUCUGCCACUAAUUGGCUGUGCUAUUGACAUGACACAAUGAAAAAGGCAGAAAUGGAGGGAUGCAGAGAUGAAAGCCAGGGAGAAGGAGGCUGCUGCAGACCCCAACUGCUGUGGAAGUAUGAGAAAUGCAGAGGGUUUAGCCCUCCUGGUACCCUGCAAAACACGGAUUGAAUAACGGUCAUGUGCUGGGAGCCGACAACACAUAGAGGCGGUGGAUGAACGAGGCCUUCGUGCCAGGAGCCGGCACACGUGAAGCUGCCUUCCCCAGGAGGUCGCCUCAUGCCCAAGUUUUGAUUCUGCUGUGUAUUUUUUUUUUUUUUAAGGCAUCAGAUUUCUAAUGAAAGAGCUCAGCCGAUCUCUGCAGUUGCACAGAAGAGAUGAUAGUAAUCUCGCAUGUAGCCUCGCUUCCUGAGCUGUCCCCUUGGAUUCUUGUAUCUUGGAGUCCUCAAUGCUCUGUCAACACCCAAGCAGAGCCUCCACCCCCUCUCUGGUCCCAAGAUGCUGGGUUAUUAUAAAUGAGUCGUGACGUCUGGGA